UACAGAGGGGGCAAGCGUUGUUCGGAAUUACUGGGCGUAAAGGGCGCGUAGGCGGCUUGAUAAGGUUGCGGUGAAAGCCCGGGGCUCAACCCCGGGUCGGCCGUGGCAACUGUCGAGCUGGAGCACUGUAGAGGCAGGUGGAAUCCGGGGUGUAGCGGUGAAAUGCGCAGAUAUCAGGAGGAACACCAAUUGCGAAGGCAGCUCGCUGGAACGUAACUGACGCUGAGACGCGAAAGCGUGGGGAGCAAACAGG
rnacentral:rRNA from 1 species